rnacentral:rRNA from 1 species
GAGUUUGAUCCUGGCUCAGAACGAACGCUGGCGGCGUGCUUAACACAUGCAAGUCAGGGAGAAAGUCUCUUCGGGGAUGAUUAAACCGGCGCACGGGUGAGUAACACGUGAGUGACCUGCCUUUUAGACUGGAACAACUUACCGAAAGGUGAGCUAAUGCCGGAUGAGUUAUAUAAGUGCAUGUUUAUAUAGGAAAAGUUGGGGAGACCUGACGCUGAAAGAUGGACUCGCGUCCCAUUAGCUAGUUGGUAGGGUAAUGGCCUACCAAGGCGACGAUGGGUAGCCGGCCUGAGAGGGUGGCCGGCCACACUGGGACUGAGACACGGCCCAGACUCCUACGGGAGGCAGCAGUGGGGAAUUUUGCGCAAUGCUCGUAAGAGUGACGCAGCGACGCCGCGUGAAUGACGAAGGCCUUCGGGUCGUAAAGUUCUUUCGACAGGGAAGAAAAUGCCUAUAAGUAACCGUGUAUGUAUUGACGGUACCUGUAUAAGCAGCCCCGGCUAACUCCGUGCCAGCAGCCGCGGUAAUACGGAGGGGGCGAGCGUUGUUCGGAGUGACUGGGCGUAAAGAGCACGUAGGCGGUGUUGUAAGUCAUUAGUCAAAGACUAGAGCUCAACUUUAGUAAGGCUGGUGAUACUAUAAUACUAGAGUAUCAGAGAGGAUUGCAGAAUUCCUGGUGUAGCGGUGAAAUGC